CUUAGGAUGUCGGAUAAACGAGCUAUUUUGAUAAAAUAGAAAUACAAUGUUAAAUAUUGUUCUUAAGU
rnacentral:tRNA from 1 species